rnacentral:rRNA from 1 species
UGGGGAAUAUUGCACAAUGGGCGCAAGCCUGAUGCAGCCAUGCCGCGUGUAUGAAGAAGGCCUUCGGGUUGUAAAGUACUUUCAGCGGGGAGGAAGGGAGUAAAGUUAAUACCUUUACUCAUUGACGUUACCCGCAGAAGAAGCACCGGCUAACUCCGUGCCAGCAGCAGCGGUAAUACGGAGGGUGCAAGCGUUAAUCGGAAUUACUGGGCGUAAAGCGCACGCAGGCGGUCUGUCAAGUCGGAUGUGAAAUCCCCGGGCUCAACCUGGGAACUGCAUUCGAAACUGGCAGGCUAGAGUCUUGUAGAGGGGGGUAGAAUUCCAGGUGUAGCGGUGAAAUGCGUAGAGAUCUGGAUGAAUACCGGUAGCGAAGGCGGCCCCCUGAACAAAGACUGACGCUCAGGUGCGAAAGCGUGGGGAGCAAACAGG